rnacentral:rRNA from 1 species
UACGAAGGGGGCUAGCGUUGCUCGGAAUCACUGGGCGUAAAGCGCACGUAGGCGGAUUGUUAAGUCAGGGGUGAAAUCCUGGAGCUCAACUCCAGAACUGCCUUUGAUACUGGCGAUCUCGAGUCCGGGAGAGGUGAGUGGAACUGCGAGUGUAGAGGUGAAAUUCGUAGAUAUUCGCAAGAACACCAGUGGCGAAGGCGGCUCACUGGCCCGGUACUGACGCUGAGGUGCGAAAGCGUGGGAGCAACAGGA